GACGAACGCUGGCGGCAUGCCUAAUACAUGCAAGUCAAACGGACCGAAGGGAAAGCUUGCUUUCCUGGAAGUCAGUGGCGAACGGGUGAGUAACACGUAGGUAACCUGCCCAUGUGCCCGGGACAACGCCUGGAAACGGGUGCUAAAACCGGAUAGGUAGAGAGAUCGCAUGAACUUUCUAUUAAAGGGGCUACGGCCCUGAACAUGGAUGGACCUGCGGUGCAUUAGAUAGUUGGUGAGGUAACGGCCCACCAAGGCGACGAUGCAUAGCCGACCUGAGAGGGCGAACGGCCACAUUGGGACUGAGACACGGCCCAAACUCCUACGGGAGGCAGCAGUAGGGAAUUUUCGUCAAUGGGGGGAACCCUGAACGAGCAAUGCCGCGUGAGUGAAGACGGUCUUCGGAUUGUAAAGCUCUGUUGCGAGAGAAAAACGACACGGAUAGGGAAUGAUCCGUGGGUGAUGGUAUCUCGCCAGAAAGUCACGGCUAACUACGUGCCAGCCGCCGCAGUAA
rnacentral:rRNA from 1 species